rnacentral:precursor_RNA from 9 species
CAAGUCGUUGCGAAAUGAACUUGUUCUCACUGGGGAUUUUGUUUGUCUAUAUGUACUGAUAACAUCAUACUGGCCUGCAAAAUCCCAACUGGGGAGAGUUAAAACAACAAAAUAGACAGU